rnacentral:tRNA from 1 species
UCCCUUGUGGCUCAGUUGGUAAAGAAUCCACCUGCAAUGUGGGAGACCUGGGUUCGAUCCCUGCGUUGGGA